rnacentral:rRNA from 1 species
CCUACGGGGGGCAGCAGUGGGGGAUAUUGGACAAUGGGGGGAACCCUGAUCCAGCGACGCCGCGUGAGUGAAGAAGUAUUUCGGUACGUAAAGCUCUGUCAGCAGGGAAGAAAGAAAUGACGGUACCUGACCAAGAAGCCCCGGCUAACUACGUGCCAGCAGCCGCGGUAAUACGUAGGGGGCAAGCGUUAUCCGGAAUUACUGGGUGUAAAGGGAGCGUAGACGGUUAAGUAAGUCUGGAGUGAAAGGCCGGGGCCCAACCCCGGGACUGCUCUGGAAACUAUUGAACUUGAGUGCAGGAGAGGUAAGCGGAAUUCCUAGUGUAGCGGUGAAAUGCGUAGAUAUUAGGAGGAACACCAGUGGCGAAGGCGGCUUACUGGACUGUAACUGACGUUGAGGCUCGAAAGCGUGGGGAGCAAACAGGAUUAGAUACCCGGGUAGUC